rnacentral:rRNA from 1 species
GUGGGGAAUAUUGGACAAUGGGCGAAAGCCUGAUCCAGCCAUGCCGCGUGUGUGAAGAAGGUCUUCGGAUUGUAAAGCACUUUAAGUUGGGAGGAAGGGCAGUAAGUUAAUACCUUGCUGUUUUGACGUUACCGACAGAAUAAGCACCGGCUAACUUCGUGCCAGCAGCCGCGGUAAUACGAAGGGUGCAAGCGUUAAGCGGAAUUACUGGGCGUAAAGCGCGCGUAGGUGGUUUUGUAAGUUGGAGGUGAAAUCCCCGGGCUCAACCUGGGAACUGCCUCCAAAACUGCAUGACUAGAGUACGGUAGAGGGUAGUGGAAGUUCCUGUGUAGCGGUGAAAUGCGUAGAUAUAGUAAGGAACACCAGUGGCGAAGGCGACUACCUGGACUGAUACUGACACUGAGGUGCGAAAGCGUGGGGAGCAAACAGGAUUAGAUACCCCAGUAGUCC